rnacentral:rRNA from 1 species
GUGUCAGCAGCCGCGGUAAUACGUAGGGUGCGAGCGUUAAUCGGAAUUACUGGGCGUAAAGCGUGCGCAGGCGGUUAUGUAAGACAGAUGUGAAAUCCCCGGGCUCAACCUGGGAACUGCAUUUGUGACUGCAUAGCUAGAGUACGGCAGAGGGGGAUGGAAUUCCGCGUGUAGCAGUGAAAUGCGUAGAUAUGCGGAGGAACACCGAUGGCGAAGGCAAUCCCCUGGGCCUGUACUGACGCUCAUGCACGAAAGCGUGGGGAGCAAACAGGAUUAGAUACCCUGGUAGUCCACGCCCUAAACGAUGUCAACUGGUUGUUGGGUCUUCACUGACUCAGUAACGAAGCUAACGCGUGAAGUUGACCGCCUGGGGAGUACGGCCGCAAGGUUGAA